UGCCAGUGACCACUUUGUGAUCUCU
rnacentral:piRNA from 1 species